GACGAACGCUGGCGGCGUGCUUAACACAUGCAAGUCGAACGGAAAGGCCCUGCUUUUGUGGGGUGCUCGAGUGGCGAACGGGGGAGUAACACGUGAGUAACCUGCCCUAGACUUUGGGAUAACUUCACGAAACUGGGGCUAAUACCGUAUAGGAGAUCCUGCUGCAGGGUGGGGGUUGGAAAGUUUCGGCGGUAGGGGAUGGACUCGCGGCUAAUCAGCUUGUUGGUCGGGUAGGGGCUUACCAAGGCUUUGACGGGUAGCCGGCCUGGGAGGGUGACCGGCCACAUUGGGACUGAGAUACGCCGCAGACUCGUACGUUAGGCAGCAGUGGGGAGUAUGGCACAGUGAGCGGAAGUCUGAGGCGGCGACGCCGCGUGCGGGAUGACGGCCUUCGGGUUGUGAACCGCUUUCGCCUGUGACGAAGCGUUAGUGACGGUAAUGAGUAAAGAAGCACCGGCUAACUACGUG
rnacentral:rRNA from 1 species